UACGAAGGGGGCUAGCGUUGUUCGGAAUUACUGGGCGUAAAGCGCACGUAGGCGGAUAUUUAAGUCGGGGGUGAAAUCCCGGGGCUCAACCCCGGAACUGCCUUCGAUACUGGGUAUCUUGAGUUCGGAAGAGGUGAGUGGAACUCCGAGUGUAGAGGUGAAAUUCGUAGAUAUUCGGAAGAACACCAGUGGCGAAGGCGGCUCACUGGCCCGGUACUGACGCUGAGGUGCGAAAGCGUGGGGAGCAAACAGG
rnacentral:rRNA from 1 species